rnacentral:rRNA from 1 species
GGGUUGUGAGGUUAAGCGACUAAGCGUACACGGUGGAUGCCCUGGCAGUCAGAGGCGAUGAAGGACGUGCUAAUCUGCGAAAAGCGUCGGUAAGGUGAUAUGAACCGUUAUAGCCGGCGAUGUCCGAAUGGGGAAACCCAGUGUGAUUCGUCACACUAUCGUUAACUGAAUACAUAGGUUAACGAGGCGAACCGGGGGAACUGAAACAUCUAAGUACCCCGAGGAAAAGAAAUCAACCGAGAUUCCCCCAGUAGCGGCGAGCGAACGGGGAGCAGCCCAGAGUCUGAAUCAGCUUGUGUGUUAGUGGAACGGUCUGGAAAGUCCGACGGUACAGGGUGAUAGUCCCGUACACCAAAAUGCACAGGCUGUGAACUCGAAGAGUAGGGCGGGACACGUGGUAUCCUGUCUGAAUAUGGGGGGACCAUCCUCCAAGGCUAAAUACUCCUGACUGACCGAUAGUGAACCAGUACCGUGAGGGAAAGGCGAAAAGAACCCCGGCGAGGGGAGUGAAAAAGAACCUGAAACCGUGUACGUACAAGCAGUGGGAGCACCUUCGGGUGUGACUGCGUACCUUUUGUAUAAUGGGUCAGCGACUUAUAUUCUGUAGCAAGGUUAACCGUAUAGGGGAGCCGCAGGGAAACCGAGUCUUAACUGGGCGUUAAGUUGCAGGGUAUAGACCCGAAACCCGGUGAUCUAGCCAUGGGCAGGUUGAAGGUUGGGUAACACUAACUGGAGGACCGAACCGACUAAUGUUGAAAAAUUAGCGGAUGACUUGUGGCUGGGGGUGAAAGGCCAAUCAAACCGGGAGAUAGCUGGUUCUCCCCGAAAGCUAUUUAGGUAGCGCCUCGUGAACUCAUCUUCGGGGGUAGAGCACUGUUUCGGCUAGGGGGUCAUCCCGACUUACCAACCCGAUGCAAACUACGAAUACCGAAGAAUGUUAUCACGGGAGACACACGGCGGGUGCUAACGUCCGUCGUGAAGAGGGAAACAACCCAGACCGCCAGCUAAGGUCCCAAAGUCAUGGUUAAGUGGGAAACGAUGUGGGAAGGCACAGACAGCCAGGAUGUUGGCUUAGAAGCAGCCAUCAUUUAAAGAAAGCGUAAUAGCUCACUGGUCGAGUCGGCCUGCGCGGAAGAUGUAACGGGGCUAAACCAUGCACCGAAGCUGCGGCAGCGACACUAUGUGUUGUUGGGUAGGGGAGCGUUCUGUAAGCCUGCGAAGGUGUGCUGUGAGGCAUGCUGGAGGUAUCAGAAGUGCGAAUGCUGACAUAAGUAACGAUAAAGCGGGUGAAAAGCCCGCUCGCCGGAAGACCAAGGGUUCCUGUCCAACGUUAAUCGGGGCAGGGUGAGUCGACCCCUAAGGCGAGGCCGAAAGGCGUAGUCGAUGGGAAACAGGUUAAUAUUCCUGUACUUGGUGUUACUGCGAAGGGGGGACGGAGAAGGCUAUGUUAGCCGGGCGACGGUUGUCCCGGUUUAAGCAUGUAGGCUGGUUGUCCAGGCAAAUCCGGAUAAUCAAGGCUGAGGUGUGAUGACGAGGCACUACGGUGCUGAAGUAACAAAUGCCCUGCUUCCAGGAAAAGCCU